CAACACCAUGCUUAGAGGUUAUACCUCCUUAUGCUUACUUGAUACUGGCAGCUGUACCUCCUAACAGUGCUAGGAAAAUCUUAAGAUAUUUCUUUCAAGGUACAUCGAAAUUCCAGUUUAAAUAAUGAGACUGCUAGUUUAACUUCCUCUUCUAAGCAGGAGAAAUUAACAUAGUAAUUACAUUGAUUGUAGCGAUGAAGCAUCAUGACUUCUAGACCUACACUGCUUGUUUCUGUGUUAUCUUAGCUUUGAUUCAGGAUGUCUCAGUAGCAUAGUGCUUAGCUUAUAGGGAUAUUUGCCUGACUACAACUUUAAUAACAGGCUUAAGAGUGUGCUGAAAGAAAUCUGCUCCUUGCCAAAGGCUACACUUUUUAAAGUGCCUUUCCUACUCCGUGUAGCCAAAGUACUCUUGAAGAUGUUUGUAGUGGAAAUGCUGAGUCACAGCUUGAACCAGUGAUUGAGCACCUGGUGGGAAGGCAGGGCCAAGCCAGGGGAGCUCAGGUGCAUGCAAUGGACCUGAGUGACCAGAAGCCGUGUAGCCAGGAUCCCCCCCCUUACUAGACCUCGUUUAAGGGUUGGUAGUGGAGGUGAAGGUAUUUCUCUGGAGUUCCCUGCAUGCCUGAGGUCUUUUGAAGCAUGGGAAGACGGUUUUACAAGGUGGCUGUGUGAGCAAUAGCUGCCUUUUGCCUCAAGAUGCUAUUUAGAGGCCAUAAUAACAAGCAAAAUUUCCUGAGAUUUGAGCACGUUGUGUUUGGUGAGGAUUCUCAAGGAAGGAAAUACUUGGAAUGUUGUUUGUGUAAAAAUGACAUCGUUGGAGUCUUCUGUGUGGUAGACAAGCUGGCAAAAAAUCAAAUCAUGGGCUGCGUCCUUCCGCCCCUGCCUGUGUUCCAGAAAGAGCCAGCACCUGUGUUCCCUGAGCAGGUAAGUGACUCCAGCCACUACACUUGCCAGCCCCCCGGGAGGCUGACAAAUGAAGCUGUGCUCCUGAGUCCCGAACAUAUAAUUUGCCACAUGCAAUUUGUGUCGCAUCAUGCCUAGCUGGAGCUCUACUGUCUGGAAUACCCAAAAUAUAUCUACAAAUAGAUCAUGUCAUGUCAAAAAUGAAA